rnacentral:lncRNA from 10 species
GAAGUCUUGUUCUGUCACCCAGGCUGGAAUGCAGUGGCGCGAUCUCGGCUCACUGCAUCUCUGCCUCCCGGGUUCAAACAAUUCUUCUGCCUCAGCCUCCCGAGUAGCUGGAACUACAGGCAUGCACCACCAUGCCUAGCUAAUUUUUAUAUUUUUAGUAGAGACGGGGUUUCACCAUAUUGUCCAGGCUGGUCUCGAACUCCUGACCACGUGAUCCACCCACCUUGGCCUCCCAAAGUUCUGGGAUUAUAGACAUGAGCCACCGCGCCCUGCCAGGGAAUUGAUUUUUAUCUGCCAUUGCCCUCUCUCAGUAGGACAGUUCCUUUCUCUUCACCUCUUCUGUCAGCUAAAGACCAUGAGAGGGAGAAAGCUAGAAGCUGAAGAUUCUGAAAAUCACUAACUGGCCUCUUCUUUCUCCUAGGUGUGGCACAUUGGUUGACCUUUGCCAGGGCCCCCACCUUCGGCAUACUGGACAGAUUGGAGGACUGAAGCUGCUAUCGGCUGAGUAUGCCCAUCGUGGUUUCUCCGAGGUGAAAACUCCCACACUGUUUUCUACGAAGCUCUGGGA